rnacentral:rRNA from 1 species
GGGGGGGAUCAUACCA